rnacentral:rRNA from 1 species
GAUGAACGCUGGCGGCGUGCCUAAUACAUGCAAGUCGAGCGAACGGACGAGAAGCUUGCUUCUCUGAUGUUAGCGGCGGACGGGUGAGUAACACGUGGAUAACCUACCUAUAAGACUGGGAUAACUUCGGGAAACCGGAGCUAAUACCGGAUAAUAUUUUGAACCGCAUGGUUCAAAAGUGAAAGACGGUCUUGCUGUCACUUAUAGAUGGAUCCGCGCUGCAUUAGCUAGUUGGUAAGGUAACGGCUUACCAAGGCAACGAUGCAUAGCCGACCUGAGAGGGUGAUUGGCCACACUGGAACUGAGACACGGUCCAGACUCCUACGGGAGGCAGCAGUAGGGAAUCUUCCGCAAUGGGCGAAAGCCUGACGGAGCAACGCCGCGUGAGUGAUGAAGGUCUUCGGAUCGUAAAACUCUGUUAUUAGGGAAGAACAUAUGUGUAAGUAACUGUGCACAUCUUGACGGUACCUAAUCAGAAAGCCACGGCUAACUACGUGCCAGCAGCCGCGGUAAUACGUAGGUGGCAAGCGUUAUCCGGAAUUAUUGGGCGUAAAGCGCGCGUAGGCGGUUUUUUAAGUCUGAUGUGAAAGCCCACGGCUCAACCGUGGAGGGUCAUUGGAAACUGGAAAACUUGAGUGCAGAAGAGGAAAGUGGAAUUCCAUGUGUAGCGGUGAAAUGCGCAGAGAUAUGGAGGAACACCAGUGGCGAAGGCGACUUUCUGGUCUGUAACUGACGCUGAUGUGCGAAAGCGUGGGGAUCAAACAGGAUUAGAUACCCUGGUAGUCCACGCCGUAAACGAUGAGUGCUAAGUGUUAGGGGGUUUCCGCCCCUUAGUGCUGCAGCUAACGCAUUAAGCACUCCGCCUGGGGAGUACGACCGCAAGGUUGAAACUCAAAGGAAUUGACGGGGACCCGCACAAGCGGUGGAGCAUGUGGUUUAAUUCGAAGCAACGCGAAGAACCUUACCAAAUCUUGACAUCCUUUGACAACUCUAGAGAUAGAGCCUUCCCCUUCGGGGGACAAAGUGACAGGUGGUGCAUGGUUGUCGUCAGCUCGUGUCGUGAGAUGUUGGGUUAAGUCCCGCAACGAGCGCAACCCUUAAGCUUAGUUGCCAUCAUUAAGUUGGGCACUCUAAGUUGACUGCCGGUGACAAACCGGAGGAAGGUGGGGAUGACGUCAAAUCAUCAUGCCCCUUAUGAUUUGGGCUACACACGUGCUACAAUGGACAAUACAAAGGGCAGCGAAACCGCGAGGUCAAGCAAAUCCCAUAAAGUUGUUCUCAGUUCGGAUUGUAGUCUGCAACUCGACUACAUGAAGCUGGAAUCGCUAGUAAUCGUAGAUCAGCACGCUACGGUGAAUACGUUCCCGGGUCU